UACGAAGGGGGGCUAGCGUUGCUCGGAAUCACUGGGCGUAAAGGGUGCGUAGGCGGGUCUUUAAGUCAGGGGUGAAAUCCCAGAGCUCAACUCUGGAACUGCCUUUGAUACUGGCGACCUAGAGUUCGGAAGAGGUUAGUGGAAUUCCCAGUGUAGAGGUGAAAUUCGUAGAUAUUGGGAAGAACACCAGUGGCGAAGGCGGCUAACUGGUCCGAUACUGACGCUGAGGUGCGAAAGCGUGGGGAGCAAACAGGGAUUAAGAUAC
rnacentral:rRNA from 1 species